rnacentral:rRNA from 1 species
UACGUAGGUGACAAGCGUUGUCCGGAUUUACUGGGCGUAAAGAGCGCGCAGGCGGUCGUUCAAGUCGAGUGUGAAAGCCCCCGGCUCAACUGGGGAGGGUCAUUCGAUACUGAUCGACUCGAAGGCAGGAGAGGGAAGUGGAAUUCCCGGUGUAGUUGUGAAAUGCGUAGAUAUCGGGAGGAACACCAGUGGCGAAGGCGACUUCCUGGCCUGUUCUUGACGCUGAGGCGCGAAAGCUAGGGGAGCAAACGGG